GGACAGAAAGACCCUAUGAAGCUUUACUGUAGCUUGGUAUUGAAUUUGGGUUUAUUUUGCGCAGUAUAGGUGGGAGGCUAAGAAUAUGAACUUGUGGGUUCCUAUGAGCCAUCAGUGAGAUACCACUCUAACUAAACUAGAAUUCUAACCUUGAUAGCCGUCAACCGGCCAAGGGACAGUUCCAGGUGGGCAGUUUGACUGGGGCGGUCGCCUCCUAAAAAGUAACGGAGGCGCGCAAAGGUUCCCUCAGACUGGUCGGAAAUCAGUUCUAGAGUGUAAAGGCAUAAGGGAGCCUGACUGCAAGACUUACAAGUCAAGCAGAGACGAAAGUCGGCCUUAGUGAUCCGACAGUGCUGAGUGGAAAGGCUGUCGCUCAACGGAUAAAAGUUACUCUAGGGAUAACAGGCUGA
rnacentral:rRNA from 1 species